rnacentral:lncRNA from 1 species
GCAAGACCAAUUCAAUUCAUUGGAAUGACAAUGAGAAAAUACAAUAACAAUAACAAAAAUAACAACAACAACAACAACAAUAGUGCAGUAUAAUCUUACAAGUAAAGUCUAGGAAAAGUGAUAUAUACGCAGACCAUACCCCUACCCCGAGGGGCAGAGAGGCUGUUUUCAGGAAAUUUUGGCUCAAGAAAGCAAUAAUGAUUUGUUCGUACUAUAUAGACUCAUAUUAAAAUAACAUAAAAUACAUAACAUAACAUAAAAUAAUAAAAUAACAGCAAUAUAAUAAAUAUAAAAGACAAUGAGAAAAUAAUAGUCUAAAAAGCAAAAAUGGCAUGUUAUAUAAGGUGAAAUCCGAUGUGUCGUUCGAACAUUUUCUUUUCCUUUCUUUAAGAAUCAACUGUUAUAAGCCCAUAAUUCCUUUAACCUAAAAGCAAAAUGACAUGGCGCAUGAUCCCAUAUCUAUGUGUAUAUUCAACUUAAACUAGUCUUUUAAACAUGCGAACUCUAAAAUAAAAUUACAUAUGUACACCACUGACUUGCUAAUUGAACAAAAGAAACGAUAAAUAAAUAAAUAAGACCCACUUCACCAUCACAUAUUAUAUGAUAAUAAUUAUGUAUUCUAAACUUAGUAAUGCUCUAAUACUUUAAAACAAACUCUAGAAAAAAUAAAAUUAUAACAUUUAUGAGUUAUGGUGCUCAAAUAGAUCUGGAUAGAAUAUUUUCAAAAGCUCAAAAUAUAAUGAAUGACUCAAGUUGCUUUACUUGCAUUAAUUAUUGAUCAAAAAUUUCAUUAAAUUAAAGGAAUUACCUGGAUAGCAGAAAAAAUAUUAGAGAUGGAUGAACUAAAAUCAGCAGCAGUGACAGCAACAAACAACAAAAAAAAUAACCCAGAAAAUUCAACAAGGAUGCUUGAAACUAGUAGCUAACAACUUCAUGAAUUGCUCAAGGGAUCCUUCUAAUCUUUUUUCAUGAUUUUUACGCUCUAAGAAACACUCACCAAGCUCUCAAUUUUUAGCUUACUAUUUGCUAUUUAGUUCCUGAUUUUUCUCAAAGAUAAGUCUUUUUAGAGUGUAAGAGAUGAUGGCUCAAUUUUUGUUCCUCCCUGAGUAAAAUACAUGUCCUCUUUAUGUAUCAAAACAAACAACUAUUUCAAAAUUAAAAAUCAAUCUUUUUGACACAUUUUUUCACUAAAUAUCUCAAAUUGUGUUAAGUGUUUUAAUCAAAAUCUGCUCUUCAUUGUUCAAAGACAGACUUUUAUUCAAACGCUGCCCAAAAGUCUAUAUUUUCUUACCAAAUAAUUUGACUUUUGAGCGUUGUAGUCAAAAAGUCUUGAAGUAGUAAAUAAACAAACAAACAAGUACCCUAUACUCUCAGGUAUUCUUUACUACCUCACUUUCAUCAACCAAAACUAUUCAAAUACUUCAACAAUUGCAAAAACAGAAAAUCUAGAAGUUCGAACUUCAAAAACUAAUACUAAAAAUAAUUAAUAAGAUACAAAAUAAAAUCUGGAAAAAAAUAGCAACACAAAAAAGAAUAGGAUUUUUACCAUUUUUCAAUUCAAGUGGUUAAUACAAUAGUGAUAUGCCGAGCGAGGGUGUUCGGGGAGGUCACAUGAAUUUGGUCGAAUUUUGGUCGCCGGAUUUUCAGGGUGGAAUUGGCAUCAAUAUUUAGGUCUCGAGUAGCUCUAUCCGUUGAUGUAGGUAUUGUGGGAUGGUAGUGGUGGGAGCUUCAAGAACUUGGGCAAAAAAAUGACGAUUAAGUUUCCUAGAUCUAAGAUUCAAUGAGUUUGAGGGGGUUUGAAGGAUUUGGUUUAGAGGUAUGAAAAGAGGAGGUUGUGGAGAUUAUAUGGUGUGAUUCUGGUGGGAUUUGGAGGAGGUCCCGCAGCCGGUUCUGGCGGCGGCGAAGGAGAGGCGGUGCGAGGAGGCUAGGUUAGAGAGAUGAGAGAGGGUGAGAAGAGAGAGGAAUUUAGGCUUGGUAAAUAGCCAAAAUUUUGAUUUUUGCAGCCUUAUAUACCUAUGAGGAC